GCACGUCUUCGGGGCGGGGUGUGAUUCCCUACCGGCGGUAUAGCCCGCGAGCCAUUAAUGGCAUGAUUUGGUGAAAUUCCAAGGCCGACAGUAAAGUCUGGAUGAAAGAAGAUAAAU
rnacentral:ncRNA from 2 species